GCCCUUAUAGCUCAGUGGUAGAGCGCAGCACUUGUACCUUCAACCUCUUACUCGAAGUUAAUGCUGAGGUCCGUCGUUCAAUCCGGCGUGGGGGCA